UGGGGCAUCAGGUAAUGUGGAGAGUUCGAUUCUGGCUCAGAUUGAACGCUGGCGGGAUGCUUUACAUGCAAGUCAGGCAGCGCAGCACGGACUUCGGUCUGGUGGCGAGUGGCGAACGAUUGAAGUAAUGUAUCAGGACGUGCCUAAGUGGCGGGGAUAACUACGCGAAAGCGUAGCUAAUACCGCAUACGCCCUUCGGGGAAAGCGAGGGGACCUUCGGGCCUCGCACUAUUAAACGGCCGAUAUCGGAUUAGCUAGUUGGUGGGGUAACGGCUCCGCAAGGCGACGAUCCGUAGCUGGUUUGAGAGGACGACCAGCCGCUGGGACUGAGACACGACCUGAACUCCUACGGGGAGGCAGCAGUGGGGAAUUUUGAACAAUGGAAACCCUGAUCCAGCCAUCCCGCGUGUGCGAUGAAGGCCUUCCGGGUUUAUGGCUGCCUGGCGGAAAGAAACGGCACGGGAUAAUGCCCCGUGCAACUGACGAACACCUGCAGAAUAAGCACCGGCUAACGCCGUGCCAGCAGCCGCGGUAAUACGUAGGGUGCAAGCGUUAAUCGGAAUUACUGGGCGUAAAGCGUGCUGAGCGGUUCCGGAAAGAACGAUGUGAAAUCGAGCUUAACUUUGGAACUGCAUUUUUAACUACCGAGCUAGAGUGUGUCAGAGGGAGGUGGAAUUCCGCGUGUAGCAGUGAAAUGCGUAGAUAUGCGGAGGAACACCGAUGGCGAAGGCAGCCUCCUGGGAUAACGACGCUCAUGCUGGCGAUGGGAGCAAACAGGAUUAGAUACCCUGGUAGUCCACGCCCUAAACGAUGUCAACUAGCUGUUGUUGGGCCUUCGAAGACUUGGUAGCGCAACUAACGCGUGAAGUUGACCGCCUGGGAGUACGGUCGCAAGAUUAAAACUCAAAGGAAUUGACGGGGACCCGCACAAGCGGUGGAUGAUGUGGAUUAAUUCGAUGCAACGCGAAAAACCUUACCUACCCUUGACAUGUCUGGAAUCCCGAAAGAGAUUUGGGAAUGCUCGCAAGAGAACCGGAACACAGGUGCUGCAUGGCUGUCGUCAGCUCGUGUCGUGAGAUGUUGGGUUAAGUCCCGCAACGAGCGCAACCCUUGUCAUUAGUUGCUACGAAGAACGCUCUAAUGAGACUGCCGGUGACAAGCCGGAGGAAGGUGGGGAUGACGUCAAGUCCUCGUAGCCCUUAUGGGUAGGGCUACACGUCAUAUUGCGGUCGGGACAGAGGGUCGCCCAGCCCGCAGGAGGCCAAUCCCAGAAACCCGAUCGUAGUCCGGAUCAUGAUCUGCAACUCGACUACGUGAAGUCGGAAUCGCUGGUAAUCGCGGAUCAGCAUGUCGCGGUAGAAUACGUUCCAGGUCUUGUACACACCGCCCGUCCACACCAUGGGAGUGGGUUUUACCAGAAGUAGUUAGCCUAACCGUAAGGAGGGCGAUUACCGCAUUAGGAUUCAUGACUGGGGUGAAGUCGUAACAGGUAG
rnacentral:rRNA from 1 species